AUUUGUGACUUGCAGAUAUUUUCAGCUGCGUCAAAACGCUCCAGGAAAGCUUCACCACGGUUCAUCCGGUUUGACAGACAAAAUGAGCAUCAUUAACGUGACCACCGUCUUCUUCGCUUUGCUGACCCUCAUCUAUGGGAAUCAUGGUGCAGACUCUGAUCCGUGCAUCAACAAAAGCAGCGUGACAAGCUACAAUAAUUUUGUCCAAAGACAUGUCCUCCAAACUGUUUUCGACAGAAAUUCUCUGCAAGCAUGGGAAAGCUAUUUGAGGGCUCAGCAGCUGUGGUGCCGAGUCCCCAGACAGUCCUUCUUGGAGCCCAGCCAGAAUGUGGAGAACAUCUGCACCAACGGCUGGAGGCUGUCGAACGGAAGAAAAAAGAACCUGUGUAUCAGCGGGUCAGAUAUGACCGUUUAUGAUGUGACAACAACGAAUACCAACAACGGCUGCAGGAUUCACGUUCAGAGAAGACAGACUCGUGUGAUUGUAGCGUGUGAUAAGGUUGGAAACCGCUGCCUUCCUGUUCACUAUGAGAGAUACACAAACCAACAGGCGACACAGAUUCCCUGCUAAAAUCGACAAGAUUCAUAACUUCAGAGUUCACUUCAAUUCACUCUGGAAAGAAAAAAGACAUUGAUUGACAUCAACUUGAUUCUUAUCAAAUACUUUACGCUGUGUUUUGUUUACUAAUUGUUUUUUGUUUGUCAUUUAUAAUGAAAGUUUAAAACAAAUUGACCUUCUUCAUUAACACUGCAGAAUGCUUCACUUUCAAAUAAGGAUGGACCGAUAUCGAUACCAGUAUCGGGUCUGAUGCUGCAGCUGCCCUCAUACUUAUAAACCAUCCCCAGUACAACCCGGCUAAAACUUUCUAACGUCUCGCUGUGUGAUUCAUUGUUGAUAUCAGGCUGUGAAUAAAGUCAAUCUCUGAAAACUGA